GCCCAUUUGGCUCAGUGAUUAGAGCAUCGGCCUGCGGACUGAAGGGUCCCAGGUUCGAUUCCAGUAAAGGGCA
rfam:Myotis davidii contig80973, whole genome shotgun sequence.